rnacentral:rRNA from 1 species
CUACGGGUUGCUCCAGUGGGGAAUAUUGCACAAUGGGCGCAAGCCUGAUGCAGCCAUGCCGCGUGUAUGAAGAAGGCCUUCGGGUUGUAAAGUACUUUCAGCGGGGAGGAAGGGAGUAAAGUUAAUACCUUUGCUCAUUGACGUUACCCGCAGAAGAAGCACCGGCUAACUCCGUGCCAGCAGCCGCGGUAAUACGGAGGGUGCAAGCGGUAAUCGGAAUUACUGGGCGUAAAGCGCACGCAGGCGGUUUGUUAAGUCAGAGGUGAAAUCCCCGGGCUCAACCGGGGAACUGCAUCUGAACUGGCAAGCUUGAGUCUCGUAGAGGGGGGUAGAAUUCCAGGUGUAGCGGUGAUAUGCGUAGAGAUCUGGAGGAAUACCGGUGGCGAAGGCGGCCCCCUGGACGAAGACUGACGCUCAGGUGCGAAAGCGUGGGGAGCAAACAGGAUUAGAUACCCGAGUAGUC